rnacentral:rRNA from 1 species
GAAACAGGUGCUAAUACCGCAUAACAGUUUAUGCCGCAUGGGAUAAGAGUGAAAGGCGCUUUCGGGUGUCGCUGAUGGAUGGACCCGCGGUGCAUUAGCUAGUUGGUGAGGUAACGGCUCACCAAGGCCACGAUGCAUAGCCGACCUGAGAGGGUGAUCGGCCACACUGGGACUGAGACACGGCCCAGACUCCUACGGGAGGCAGCAGUAGGGAAUCUUCGGCAAUGGACGAAAGUCUGACCGAGCAACGCCGCGUGAGUGAAGAAGGUUUUCGGAUCGUAAAACUCUGUUGUUAGAGAAGAACAAGGACGUUAGUAACUGAACGUCCCCUGACGGUAUCUAACCAGAAAGCCACGGCUAACUACGUGCCAGCAGCCGCGGUAAUACG